AUUGAACGCUGGCGGCAGGCCUAACACAUGCAAGUCGAGCGGACGAAGGGAGCUUUCUCCUGGAUUCAGCGGCGGACGGGCGAGUAAUGCCUAGGAAUCUGCCUGGUCGUGGGGGAUAACGUCCGGAAACGGGCGCUAAUACCGCAUACGUCCUGAGGGUGAAAGGGGGGGAUCUUUGGACCUCACGCUAUCAGAUGAGCCUAGGUCGGUUUAGCUGGUUGGUGGGGUAAAGCCCUACCAAGGCGACGAUCCGUAACUGGUCUGAGGGGAUGACCAGUAAACCUGAACUUAGGCACCGGUCCAGCCUCUUACGGGGGGCGCAGGUGGGAAAUCUUCGCAAAUGGGCGAAAGCCUACUCAAGACAUGCCGCGUGUGUGAAGAAGGUCUUCGGACUGUAAAGCACUUUAAGUUGGGAGGAAGAGUAGUAAGUUAACUCUUUGCUGUUUUACCGUUCCAACAGAAUAAGCACCGGCUAACUUCGUG
rnacentral:rRNA from 1 species